rnacentral:rRNA from 1 species
UACGGAAGGCAGCAGUGGGGAAUAUUGCACAAUGGGCGGAAGCCUGAUGCAGCGACGCCGCGUGGGGAUGACGGCCUUCGGGUUGUAAACUCCUUUCGACAGGGACGAAGCGCAAGUGACGGUACCUGUAUAAGAAGCACCGGCUAACUACGUGCCAGCAGCCGCGGUAAUACGUAGGGUGCGAGCGUUGUCCGGAAUUACUGGGCGUAAAGAGCUCGUAGGUGGUUUGUCGCGUCGUCUGUGAAAUUCCGGGGCUUAACUCCGGGCGUGCAGGCGAUACGGGCAUAACUUGAGUGCUGUAGGGGAGACUGGAAUUCCUGGUGUAGCGGUGAAAUGCGCAGAUAUCAGGAGGAACACCGAUGGCGAAGGCAGGUCUCGUGGGCAGUUACUGACGCUGAGGAGCGAAAGCAGUGGGUAGCGAACGAGGUAUUAGACUACC